AUUGAACGCUGGCGGCAGGCUUAACACAUGCAAGUCGAGCGGAGCGAGGGUGCUUGCACCUUAGCUUAGCGGCGGACGGGUGAGUAAUGCUUAGGAAUCUGCCUAUUAGUGGGGGACAACAUUCCGAAAGGAAUGCUAAUACCGCAUACGCCCUACGGGGGAAAGCAGGGGAUGUUCGGACCUUGCGCUAAUAGAUGAGCCUCAGUCGGAUUAGCUAGUUGGUGGGGUAAAGGCCUACCAAGGCGACGAUCUGUAGCGGGUCUGAGAGGAUGAUCCGCCACACUGGGACUGAGACACGGCCCAGACUCCUACGGGAGGCAGCAGUGGGGAAUAUUGGACAAUGGGCGGAAGCCUGAUCCAGCCAUGCCGCGUGUGUGAAGAAGGCCUUUUGGUUGUAAAGCACUUUAAGCGAGGAGGAGGCUCUUAAGGUUAAUACCCUUGAUGAGUGGACGUUACUCGCAGAAUAAGCACCGGCUAACUCUGUGCCAGCCGCCGCGGUAACAC
rnacentral:rRNA from 1 species